UAUAAGUUCAGAGAUAAAAUUCUUGAUUCCUCAUUUCCUUCAGCAUCUUCAAAUACCAGGAUCCGUCUGCCUUUGCAGAUGCCUCUUUUUGUGGUGAAGGUGAAGUGUUGGCAUAAAGCAGUAUCCCAUGAGGAGCUGUUCUCGGCUGAGUGAACGUGCGGAGAUCAGCAAACAGUGUUUCAGGAUUGUCCUUGAUCUGUUUCUGUCUGUGGAUCUGUCUAGAAUGCUCUGAGCUCUUCUGAGGGUACACAAAGGGGCGGGGCCAAUGUGCUGCAGCAGCCAUUGCUGAUUUUAGAAUGGCUCUUGGUUAUUUGUUGCUGCUUGAUGUGUGAUCUUCUCCUCUGUUUCUGUGAGGUUUAGUCUGUGGGUGUCUUCAGACAGGUCUCGGUCUGGAAGUGUCUCAGUUUGAGAGAUCUUCUCUCUGUGGCAGUGCUGUGGCCCUUUGAGUUGCUCUCAUCUGAUUGUCUUCUGUUGUUUUUUUUUUCUUGGUUAAUUUAAACUCUUCUUGUGAAUAAUAUCGAUUAUCGAUUGUAUGAGGUUUCCUUGUUUAAAAUUUGUCAGAACUGAAUGUCUGUCUUGUUUUAAAAUAAUAUCAAAAGUUAAAUGAUCAGGAGCUCAUCUUA